rnacentral:tRNA from 1 species
CCGAGGCGGGGCACCCAGGGCGGUGUGGACGGCGUUGCCCGGGCCGCAGUGGGCCGAGGAGCUGGCCAGGGCGGUGGUCGCGACGCUGGCCUCGGGCC